GAAUAUUCAUCAUGUAUGCUUUUCUAAUUAUAAGGGGGGUGGGGGAUGAAGAGGAAACUUUUCGAGCCACACACCGGAAUUUACUUUGAGGAAAUUAAAGUGUUCAUAGCAAAUAAGUGUUUGAAUACUACAGCAUGGAAUAACAAAUAGGACUUUGGUAUUGUUUUGUUGGAGUAGAGAAACCAAAGUAAAGAUGAAUAGGGACAGUUGGGGGCAUUGGAAUUUGAUAGUCAGAGGUGAAAUUCAUGGAUUUAUCAAAGACCAACAAAGGCGAAAGCAUUUGCCAAGGAUGUUUUCAUUGAUCAAGAACGAAAGUCAGGGGAUCGAAGACGAUUAGAUACCGUCGUAGUCUUGACCGUAAACGAUGCCGACUUGGGGGAGGUGCGAGAUGAGAAGCGCAUCACAACCAAAGGAGAAAUCAAAGUGUAUGGGUUCUGGGGGGAGUAUAGUCGCAAGGCCGAAACUUGAAGGAAUUGACGGAAGGGCACCACCAGGAGUGGAGCCUGCGGCUUAAUUUGACUCAACACGGGAAAACUUACCAGGUCCGGACAUGAUGAGGAUUGACAGAUUGAGAGCACUUUUAAGAUUUCAUGGGAGGUGGUGCAUGGCCGUUCUUAGUUGGUGGAGUGAUUUGUCAGGUUAAUUCCGAUAACGAGCGAGGCCCUGUGAUGACGGUAAUGAUUGAGUAUGUAAAUACGCGAGACGUUUCUUCAUCGACACCCCA
rnacentral:rRNA from 1 species